CUUCCUCUAGUGUUUUCAUGCGCAGGCUGCAGAUGAUGUUCUUCCAUCCGUUUAAGUCCAACUUCAACUGCUAGAACUGCAUAGUUUGCCUUGGGGAGGAACAUCAACGGAUUUUUUGGUUUCUGGGCAGUCAGGUCUCGCAUCACUUCAGCGUUACACAUCCAUCAGCAGAUUUAGUUUCGUUGUUUGGUGUUCAAAGACGACAGCGAUGAUCAUCAGACUUGGCAGACUGACUCCUGGAUACUUCCGACUUUUGCAGAGACAGGUAGCUGGUGAGGUGCAGGCCCCAACACGCGACCGCUCCGCCAACCAAAUCGCCAUGAUGCUGGCCAUCAUGGGUCUCAGCCUUUCCUACUACAGUGCCAAACAGAUGACGGAGAAGGUUGGGCACGAGCCCGCGCCAUGAAGGUGCUCCUCGUUGGUUUGUUUCUGGAAAGGAAAGCAAGAAGCCAGACUGGAGGUGAAGUUGAAGCGGGAUCACCACGUCCAGUCUCUGUCACACUACACCCUCUCUGUAUCUAUCAGAAACUGAUUUCUGAGCAUUCACUAACCACCAAUCUGGGUCUGCUAGGGUCACUUUAGUUUAGCUCUCAGCGGGUUGCAACCUGCUUUAUUUGGGUUUGUUGGUCUUUAUAUCUUGAUAGUUGACUUUGUACAUGCAUCAGAGAGUCGAUCGAUACUACCGGAGAUUUCUAGAGAAGACGUUUAUCUCCUCCAGAUGCAUAUCAUGUAGGGAAUACUGCUGCUACUGUGAGCCAUAAAGGGAGCGACCUCUGGAUUUGAGACGUACCGAUCAACUAUUGACAGCAGAAUGAGAGAUUAUUUUAGAUUUAUCACCCAAAACUCACACAGACCUGAGGACACGAAGGCAUCACCUCACUUGUCAUCUCCGUAUUAGACGAUGUGUUAUCAAGAGCGAUUACGAUACUACACCAUGACUGCUUUGGGGACUUUUCAUUCUAACUAAACACAAGAUUUCAUAUCAUCUUUAAUUGUCUUGAUCAGUGGAUAAUCCAGCAGUUCCUGUUAGACGUUUAAAGUUGACUUUGUGUGUUUGUGCAAUCGCAUGCAAUCCAUGACAUUAUUUCUAAUAGUUUUUUAAUAUAACACUGUGAUUUAUGAUGAAUGUUUGUUAUGUUUUUAAGAAUCGAUGAACAAAUAAAGCUGUGAACCUUUUGAACAACCUCAA